CCUACGGGAGACUGCAGUGAGGAAUAUUGGUCAAUGGGCGGAAGCCUGAACCAGCCAAGUCGCGUGAGGGAAUAAGGCCCUACGGGUCGUAAACCUCUUUUGCCGGGGAGCAAGUUCGGGUACGUGUCCCGUCCCGUAGAGUCCCCGUAGCAAAAGCCUCGGCUAACUCCGUGCCAGCAGCCGCGUUAAUACGGAGGAUGCGAGCGUUAUCCGGAUUUAUUGGGUUUAAGGGGAGCGUAGGUGGAUUGUUAAGUCAGUUGUGAAAGUUUGAGGCUCAACCUUGAAAUUGCAGUUGAAACUGGCAGUCUUGAGUACAGGAGAGGUGGGCGGAAUUCGUGGUGUAGCGGUGAAAUGCUUAGAUAUCACGAAGAACUCCGAUUGCGAAGGCAGUUCACUGGACUGCAACUGACACUGAGGCUCGAAAGUGUGGGUAUCAAACAGGAUUAGAUACCCGAGUAGUC
rnacentral:rRNA from 1 species